GAUUUCUGGCUUGAAACAUUAAGCCGGCCACGGUUUCGUGUGUUAGUGCUUGGUGUUCUGGCCAUCCUUCCAAUCGCUGCUGGCCUUUCUUCAUUGAUAGGUUGGUAGUAUUGGAUCUUUUACUUUGAAAAAAUUAGAGUGUUUCAAGCAGGCUUUAUGCUAUGAAUACAUUAGCAUGGAAUAAUAAUUUAGGACUUCGGUUCUAUUUUGUUGGUUUCUAGGACUGAAGUAAUGAUUGAUAGGGAUAGUUGGGGGUGCUAGUAUUCAGCGGCCAGAGGUGAAAUUCUCGGAUUCGCUGAAGACUAACUUAUGCGAAAGCAUU
rnacentral:rRNA from 2 species